AUUGUACACUAGGGGAGCUGUUAUGGCUGAGAUGAAUUUUUAUUCAGACCCUUUAAACCUGCUCUGGGUAAUGCCAGCGAAGGGAAGUUGUAACAAUAUAAG
rnacentral:ncRNA from 2 species